rnacentral:rRNA from 1 species
AACGUAGGUGGCGAGCGUUAUCCGGAUUUACUGGGCGUAAAGGGUGUGCAGGCGGGCUGUUAAGUGGUGUAUGAAAUAUCCCGGCUCAACCGGGAGAGGUUAUGCCAGACUGGCAGUCUAGAGAGCGAGAGAGGGACGUGGAAUUCCGGGUGUAGUGGUGAAAUGCGUAGAGAUCAGGAGGAACACCGGUGGCGAAGGCGGGUCUCUGGGCCGAUACUGACGCUGAGGAGCGAAAGCGUGGGGAGCGAACAGG